rnacentral:rRNA from 1 species
UGGGGAAUAUUGGACAAUGGGCGGAAGCCUGAUCCAGCAAUACCGCGUGUGUGAAGAAGGCCUUAGGGUUGUAAAACUCUUUCGUCGGGGACGAUAAUGACGGUACCCGAAGAAGAAGCUCCGGCUAACUUCGUGCCAGCAGCCGCGGUAAUACGAAGGGAGCUAGCGUUGUUCGGAAUCACUGGGCGUAAAGCGCACGUAGGCGGAUAGUUAAGUCAGGGGUGAAAUCCUGGGGCUCAACCCCAGAACUGCCUUUGAUACUGGCUGUCUCGAGGUCGAGAGAGGUUGGUGGAAUUCCUAGUGUAGAGGUGAAAUUCGUAGAUAUUAGGAAGAACACCAGUGGCGAAGGCGGCCAACUGGCUCGAUACUGACGCUGAGGUGCGAAAGCGUGGGGAGCAAACAGGAUUAGAUACCCUUGUAGUCCCUGAGCGGGCUGGCAAGGCGCAU